rnacentral:rRNA from 1 species
CCCUUAGAUGUUCUGGGCAGCACGCGCGCUACAAUGGUCUUCGCAAACGGAUGCAUUCUCGAAGGAGAAUGCCAAUCUUGGAAUCUAUGCCUUAGUCGGGACAGUUGCUUGCAAUUUUUCGACUCGAACCAGGAAUUCCUUGUAAUCGUGAUUCAUCACAUCACGAUGAAUACGUCCCUGCCCUUUGUACACACCGCCCGUCGCUCCUACCGAUCGAAGAGUUAGGUGAAUUGUUUUGAUCGAUAAGAUUUGACUAUGGUCAACUCUCGUUGUGAAAUUCUGUGAAUCUGACUGUUUAGAGGAAGGAAAAGUCGUAACA